UACAGAGGUCUCAAGCGUUGUUCGGAUUCAUUGGGCGUAAAGGGUGCGUAGGCGGCGCGGUAAGUCGGGUGUGAAAUCUCGGAGCUUAACUCCGAAACUGCAUUCGAUACUGCCGUGCUUGAGGACUGGAGAGGAGACUGGAAUUUACGGUGUAGCGGUGAAAUGCGUAGAUAUCGUAAGGGAAGACCAGUGGCGAAGGCGGGUCUCUGGACA
rnacentral:rRNA from 1 species